GUGCUUACCUCAGCAGCUUAUAUACUAAAAUUGGAAGGAUACAGAGAAGAUUAACACGGCCCCUAGGCAUGGAUGACAGAAAUUCAUGAAGUGUUCCAUUAAAAA